CCUACGGGAGGCAGCAGUGGGGAAUUUUCCGCAAUGGGCGAAAGCCUGACGGAGCAACGCCGCGUGAGGGACGAAGGCCUUUGGGCUGUAAACCUCUUUUCUCAAGGAAGAAGAUCUGACGGUACUUGAGGAAUAAGCCUCGGCUAAUUCCGUGCCAGCAGCCGCGGUAAUACGGAAGAGGCAAGCGUUAUCCGGAAUUAUUGGGCGUAAAGCGUCCGCAGGCGGCCGGUUAAGUCUGUUGUCAAAGCGUGUGGCUCAACUGCAUUGUGGCAAUGGAAACUGUGAGGCUUGAGUGCGGUAGGGGCAGAGGGAAUUCCCGGUGUAGCGGUGAAAUGCGUAGAUAUCGGGAAGAACACCAGUGGCGAAGGCGCUCUGCUGGGCCGUAACUGACGCUCAUGGACGAAAGCUAGGGGAGCGAAUGGGAUUAGAUACCCCUGUAGUCCUGGCCGUAAACGAUGAACACUAGGCGUCGGUGGAAUCGACCCCCUCUGUGCCGUAGCUAAGCGUUAAGUGUUCCGCCUGGGGAGUACGCACGCAAGUGUGAAACUCAAAGGAAUUGACGGGGGCCCGCACAGGCGGUGGAGUAUGUGGUUUAAUUCGAUGCAACGCGAAGAACCUUACCAGGGUUUGACAUGUUGCGAAUCCGAUGGAAACUUGGGAGUGCCUACGGGAGCGCAAAGACAGGUGGUGCAUGGCUGUCGUCAGCUCGUGUCGUGAGAUGUUGGGUUAAGUCCCGCAACGAGCGCAACCCUCGUGCUUAGUUGCCAGCAUUCAGUUGGGCACUCUAGACAGACCGCCGGUGAUAAACCGGAGGAAGGUGUGGAUGACGUCAAGUCAUCAUGCCCCUUACAUCCUGGGCUACACACGUACUACAAUGCUGCGGACAAAAGGGCAGCAAGCUGGCCGAGAGCUAGCCAAAUCCUCAUAAACCAGUGCUCAGUUUAAGAUUCGUAGGCUGCAACUUCGCCUACGUGAAGGCAGGAAUCGCUAGUGAUCGCAGGUCAGCCAUAACUGCCGGUGAUAACCGUUCCCGGGCCUUGACACCACCGGCCGUCACCCAUGGAGCUUGCCUAGCCCGGAAGCCGAUCCUCCACCCCUUUGGGAGAAGGACGUCCCAAGUGGCAGUGCUUGACCAGUGGGGUGAUCCUAACACGAUACGCUCACCGAGAGGUGCGGGUGGUACUCUUCAUAUGGAGAACCGGAACUCUUUUUGUGCUCCGGUUAACCCACC
rnacentral:rRNA from 1 species